rnacentral:rRNA from 1 species
UCUUAGGAUAUGUAAAAUUCUUUCACCGGGGACGAUAAUGACGGUACCCGGAGAAGAAGCCCCGGCUAACUUCGUGCCAGCAGCCGCGGUAAUACGAAGGGGGCUAGCGUUGCUCGGAAUUACUGGGCGUAAAGGGAGCGUAGGCGGACUGUUUAGUCAGAGGUGAAAGCCCAGGGCUCAACCUUGGAAUUGCCUUUGAUACUGGCAGUCUUGAGUACGGAAGAGGUAUGUGGAACUCCGAGUGUAGAGGUGAAAUUCGUAGAUAUUCGGAAGAACACCAGUGGCGAAGGCGACAUACUGGUCCGUUACUGACGCUGAGGCUCGAAAGCGUGGGGAGCAAACAGGAUUAGAUACCCUGGUAGUCCACGCCGUAAACGAUGAGUGCUAGUUGUCGGCAUGCAUGCAUGUCGGUGACGCAGCUAACGCAUUAAGCACUCCGCCUGGGG